AAAGGUCCAAAGAGGAAAUUCAUUCGCGUUUCGACUGUCGAAGUUGGAUGUUUGUAUGACGGAUAUCGUUUCGGCGACGUUCGCUUCUUACGUUCUUCGUGUCGAUGUCGAACGCGUGCACUUUUCCUCUAGUAGGACGUCGCGAUCCGUUGGGUGUCUGUCUAAGACUCGAGGUGGAGCCCGCGUAAUUUUUAAUUAUGCGGACCCUUGGUGUUCCGACAGACUCACUCGACGGUAUACUAAUGGCGCGGGGCCGCUACUUCAGUUAGCGUUCGGCCCGUAGCAAGCACGUUCUGUGUUUGACGGCGAUCGGACCUAGUGCCGAUUCUGUCCCAGAACGACUGUUGGUUACGGUGUUCUCGAAACUGACCUCGUAUGAAACGCCGAUCAGCGACGCUCUAGAUUUGGGUACUUUCAGGACCCGUCUUGAAACACGGAC
rnacentral:rRNA from 1 species